rnacentral:lncRNA from 1 species
CCGGCUAAUAUUUUUGUAUUUUUAGUAUAGACAGGGUUUCACCGUGUUAGCCAGGAUGGUCUUGAUCUCCUGACCUCGUGAUCCGCCCGCCUCGGCCUCCGAAAGCGCUGGGAUUACAGGCGUGAGCCACCGCGCCCGGCCAUUGCUUUCUUGCAGCAACUGGGGAUUGUUGAUUCGGGACCCCUAGUCGGAGGGUGAUUUACACGUCAGUUGCAGCGCGUUGGUCAAUGUUCCAGGCUGUCAGCUCGGCACCGCCCUCAGGGCUCAAGCUACACAGGGCAUUGAAAGGUAACUGAGGUGACUUAACAAUGAAACAAGUCAGAAAUGUCCUGAUAGAGACCAAAGGAAGACAAUAUUUCAGACUCCUCUGGAUUGUUCUGGAAGAGAAAAUGCAGAAACAGCAGGGAGCAGAAGAUAAACAGGCAAUCCGUGACUCAUUAAAACAAGCAUUGGUCGCCAACAUUGUGGAGUGUGUGAAGACCCCAGAUCCAACUCGCCUAUAAACUUUUUUUUACCAGCUGGACUUAGCAUCUGCCAGAGUUUGGAAAGAGAGAUAAUCUGGUACAAAUGAUUUCAGUGUGUCGCAUUUAUUAACCUGCCACCUUACAUAACUCUGCUGAUUGGGAACUCAGGGAAAUGUUUGAGCAAUGACACAGCUUAUUGUUGGAAUGUUACAACUUUACUAAUAAAGAUGCAAGUUACUGUUUAAAAAAAAAUACAAAGACCACAGAGCAAUUGGAAAAUAAAAAUGAAGCAAAGCUAAAAAGCAUCAUGGUCUUGAGAAAUGUACGUGCCAGAAAAAUAAUUGAAAUUCAGUUUGAAUUUUGAUCAUUUUCAGUGCUUUACAUCAAUUAGGCAGGAAAAGUAUUUUAUUUUUAAAUAGUUGUCACAUUAGUUUGUCUUAACAGCUUUGAUGUAAAUAAAUGCCAAACUGGGAGCAUUAUCAUGUCCUUUCCAAACUACUUACUGUUCUAAAUGAAUGAUUCGCUUCUGUUGUUAAAUCUCUGACAAUUGCUAGAAGGGCAUUUUCACAGUAGAACUGAAGGAAAAGUAAAAUAGUGCCCAUUUUUGUUUAUAUACAAAACCGUGUCCAUUUUUGUCUUAAACAGCCUGCCUGGCUUCACAGUUUAUUAAAGACAAAGAACAUUACCCCAGGAAUAAAAUCAGUACCGAUAACCUGCAUACUUUUCAUUCUUGGGCUUUGAUUUACUUCCUUUUUUGCCUCAAAGUUUGCUUGGGAUCAUUUGGUCAAGAGGUGGAAACACCAAAGAGCAAUUUUCUUUUUUCUAUUUCUUAUCCAGAUCUCAUGCCAGUAAUUUCAAAUUAAUGAGGAUGUUUACUCUCUGGUACAAAAUUUGCACAUACUAGCUUAUAAAAUAUGGAUAAGCUGGUUUCCUAUAACAAAAUAUAGCCCUACCAUUUCAAAAAUGAAAACUGCAGAGACUUUGGAAAAAAAUCAGCUGAAGGAAUUCUUCACGUUUCACAAUGGUUAGCCUAUUAUUUGUAGUUUUGAAACUUUAUUGGUCCCCAAUCUAAUCUUUUCUGAGUAUAAAAACAUUAACAUAUGGUUUAACACAGCACAGGGCUGGAAAGUCCAUAUCCCAAAUGCAUAUUGUAUGCAGGGUGACAUUCACACUAAAUACCAUCCCUCAGGGUCUGUACUCCAUUUUACCUGGGAUUGGAGAGCCAUGAAAUCCCUGGAAAAGUUGUUCAUGAGUCUGAACCAAAUGGUGUGCAGUGUACUGAGAUACUAACAGUCUAUGCUUCUGCCAAAGGUUGCGGCUCAAAUGUCUCUCUAAGUAACAUUAAAAAUCUGCUGCUUCAUGCCUAUGAAUUUCAAUAUUUAUAGCAUUCAAUAAAACGGUCCACUGUCAGAGAGAGAUGUGCCACUGUGCACUCUCUGAGCAGAUGGGCGGCAAUAUGGCACAUUUACAUGGACCAGCUGUGGAGCGCAGAAAUGGAUGCUGGUCAGGGGCAAGGUGCAGGCCCCACAUCUGGAAUUCUAACCGACUGGCCUCGGUACCCAUUGUAAACUUUCCUUCCACAGGGUGAGCUCUGAUUUAGAGCUGCUCACUAGUGUGCCUUAAACUGCAUCAAGAGUCCUCAUUAACGCAAGAGACUAGAGGGAGGUUAGGGCCUGGAAUCCCUCUGUCGGGCAUCUGUUAGAGUCUGUGGAUGGCACUCUGUAGUCGUUAUAGAUGCACCCAGGGGAAGAUUCUCUCAGGCAUGAUGCAGUGUUCUCUAUUUAACUGAUUUUAUACCCCCAAAAAAGAGGUUUUUAUUAUAAACAGAGCUACUUUUUCCAUAUCCCCUUUUCUAAAUGGAUCAGAAUAUACCUCAGAGAAAGGACAAUUUCUAGAAUAUUUAAAAAUUUCGUAGAAAUGUCGAAUUCUUUUUUCAAGUCUCAAAUGGAACGUUGUCUUAUUUUGGGUAGAAUCAGAAUGGUUCAAAUGCAGUUAGAAGUUUCUAAAAUAUAUGAAAUUCUUAGACUAGCUGUUUUCAUUGUAGUAUCACUAUUCAGACAAUCAAAACAGCUUAGUUGUGUGUCAUUUAAAUAAUUCAACUGACUUGAUAGAAAGGUAAGCUGCUUUUGACAUUUUAAAUAUGAACAAGAAAUGGUUUGUUACAUUCAAAUACUCAUCAGAAAUAACAUUCCUGUUUCAUUUUCAAUAAAUACUUUUAAGAGAAAGUUCUACUCAUUCUUUCAUUUUGUAAAAUAAUCUUUCCCACAUUUUCCAAUUAUUGACUAAGAUGUAUUUGGUCUUCAGUGGUCCCAUCUCUUGAAUAGUUGUUUAUAUCCUUACGUUACUGAGUAUUCAUUUUCUAUGACAAUCUCUCAAGAUCUAUUCCAGUCUCCUUUCACCCCCAAGAGAAACGCAGGUAUUUUAAGCAAGUGAGACAAUACAACUCGUUAUCAAAUGGGUUAUGGUAACUCAAUCAUGUAAUGUAUGGAUAUUUUAGGGUCUCAUCAUUCAACACUCAACUUUAAAACUACUCUGAAAUCUAAACAUAGAUAUGUAUUUAUGCUAUUUGGCCUCAAUCUUCAAAAAGGAAAAUUUUGGCCAGGCGCGUUGGCUCACGCCUGUAAUUCCAGCACUUUGAGAGGCCGAGGGGGGCAGAUCACCUGAGGUCAGGAGUUCGAGACCAGCCUGGCCAACACGGAGAAACCCCAUCUCUACCAAAAGUACAAAACUAGCCAGGCGUGGUGGCACGUGCCUGUAAUUCCAGCCACGCAGGAGGCUGAGGCAGGAGAAUAGCUUGAA